ACCCAUAAAUUUGCCUGCUCCGUACCCAUUAUCCCGAUAACCCAGUUACCCAUUUCAGUUUAUCUUUGGGAUUUGAUCGUGCAUUAAUAAGCAUAUAUUCUGUUACCUAAUCUUCCGCCUCUUAAUUCAAAUUUUGAAUUCCAGAAUCUGUCAAAACCAUCUUCAAGCGUAUGGAUCAUCUCUGCGAUCUUCUACCGUCGACAUAGACAUCUUCUUCUUCAGCCAGGCAUGGAAACUGACAACAAUGAUGCAGCGGCACCGGGUUCAGGUCGCAAGCGACGUGGACGUGUGUCAAAGUUGCAGCAAAUUAAAGGGGCGAUCAUGAUUCACGUGACAUCAUGUUGGAGACAUUUUUGAAGAAAUUAUUUUAUAAGCGAAAAGCUUUAAACAUGUAGUAAUCAUAAUUAUCUUUUGUUAAAAGUUUUCGCUUGAAUAAGCUCCGGGAAAGAUAAUUUUUUGGUAACACGAGUUGGGAAAACCAAAGCUUCCACCUCUGGAUCCCAUAGGAGGUCUUGACGGUGUGGAAAUGGUUGGUUUGACUUCGCCAACUCCUGUGCAGGUAAAAAUUUCUAUUGGAAAUGUUAUAUCUAUCAAAUUUGUUGUUUUCAUGCUAAGAUAUGUAUAAAAAUAUAUAUGUGUGAACUGAGUUUUAUUGUUGGUAUCACAUUAUAUAUCGGAGCUGAGGCUAGGCCUGACAGUUAGUUUAAGAUACGCAGGUUGUCCUACAUAUGCAUUAUGUAGUCCUAACAUCCUGCAUUUUCACUUUUACUCAUUUUUACAUGCAAUUUCUCUUUCCUUUGGACACUUGAUUACGAAGCCACAACGUCCUACACCUCACUCAAACGCUUCAGGUUUAGAAAAUUUGCUAUCUACACUCAAUUUGUGAUCAGAGUACCCUGUCCAUAUGAGGCAGUGAGUUGUGUCGAAAGUCUCUAUCUAACAUGUUGUUCCGAUUUUCUUUUUUCUCCAGGUUUGAACCGUAUAUGCCGUGGUCCGGGGAUUAAUAAUUUGCUACAUAUGGAGGACUUGAAAUUGAAUAAUGUAACAAUUUUGGUGUCCGUAAAGUUUAGUCUUCUGAAUGUUUUAUAUUUUGUAUUUAUGCAUCCUUCUAUUUUAGGUUAGGCUUGAAAAAUUUUGUGAUGCAGCUUAUGUGACUUAUCCGUAUACUAAUGGUGGAACUCACGUGUCUCCAAAAACUUCCGGUUAGUAGUCCAUCAUUCUUUUAUCUUAUAUGAUCCGAUAUUAAUUUCAAUCUUCAUGUUCACUUAAGUGUGUAGGACUCCUAGUAGCACUGUAAUGUUUCAGGGAUCAAUGAUGAGGAGAAGCAAUUCUCAUUCGCAAAGCACGAAGAAUUAUGCACCUCACGACAUGUUUGAAUCUCCAGGUUCUCCUUUCACCUCUUCCUGUGUUUUGACACGACUACACGAAUCAGUUACUAAAAGCAUCAAUAUUCCAUUGUGUCUAUUCUGUUGAAUUGUUAAUGCAUUGGCAUAUAACUGUACCAAGACAUGUUGUACUUACUUAUUCUGAAUAUAAGCAUCAUCUUUCCUAUGCAUAUUAUUAACUAGAAAUAUCAGAUUGCAAAGUCACGCAGGCCAUUCCGUCCAAGUAGUGGCACGUCCAGCUCUGGUGUAAAAGAUUUAUCUCACGAUUUUAAUGAGGCAUAAGAUCCUACAAAGAAUGACAUUCUGUUCGAUGAUGGUAUUUUGUUUCCUUUUUUUAAAUUAAAUUUAUAUAUCACAGUGAUCAAUGACAUGCCAUCACUGCGUUUUAACUGGUUAGCCUGAGUGUGAUGAUGCGAAUUCUGAAACCUGGCCAGACUAUGCCAAUCUUGGUCCUCCAAAUGCUAUGUGCAGACACUGUGGUGUGAUAAUGUGGCACGACUGUCUAUUUUUUAACCUCUUCAUAGUUAUUCAAAUAGCAUGGCUAUUAA